GCCUGAUCCAGCCAUGCCGCGUGAGUGAAGAAGGCCUUCGGGUCGUAAAGCUCUUUUAGUCGGAAAGAAAGAGUUGCAAUGAAUAAUUGUGAUUUAUGACGGUACCGACAGAAAAAGCACCGGCUAACUACGUGCCAGCAGCCGCGGUAAUACGUAGGGUGCGAGCGUUAAUCGGAAUUACUGGGCGUAAAGGGUGCGCAGGCGGUCUUGCAAGUCAGAUGUGAAAGCCCCGGGCUUAACCUGGGAAUUGCGUUUGAAACUACAAAGCUAGA
rnacentral:rRNA from 1 species